rnacentral:rRNA from 1 species
AUUGAACGCUGGCGGCAUGCCUUACACAUGCAAGUCGAACGGCAGCAUGAUCUAGCUUGCUCGAUUGAUGGCGAGUGGCGCACGGGUGAGUAAUACAUCGGAACGUGCCCUGUAGUGGGGGAUAACUAGUCGAAAGAUUAGCUAAUACCGCAUACGACCUGAGGGUGAAAGUGGGGGACCGCAAGGCCUCCUGCUAUAGGAGCGGCCGAUGUCUGAUUAGCUAGUUGGUGAGGUAAAGGCCCACCAAGGCGACGAUCAGUAGCUGGUCUGAGAGGACGAUCAGCCACACUGGGACUGAGACACGGCCCAGACUCCUACGGGAGGCAGCAGUGGGGAAUUUUGGACAAUGGGCGAAAGCCUGAUCCAGCAAUGCCGCGUGUGUGAAGAAGGCCUUCGGGUUGUAAAGCACUUUUGUCCGGAAAGAAAUGGCUCUGGUUAAUACCUGGGGUCGAUGACGGUACCGGAAGAAUAAGGACCGGCUAACUACGUG